AUUUCUGUAGAGUAGUGGUUAUCACGUGCGCUUCACACGCGCAAGGAGCCCAGUUCGAGCCUGAGCGGAAACA
rnacentral:tRNA from 1 species